rnacentral:rRNA from 1 species
GUCGAACGCUGGCGGCGGGCUUAACACAUGCAAGUCGAACGGAAAGGCCCUGCUUUUGUGGGGUUCUCGAGUGGCGAACGGGUGAGUAACACGUGAGUAACCUGCCCUUGACUGUGGGAUAACUUCAGGAAACUGGGGCUAAUACCGGAUAGUAGCUCCUGCUGCAUGGUGGGGGGGGGAAAGGUGCGGCGGUUGGGGAUGGACUCGCGGCUUAUCAGCUAGUUGGUGGGGGAGUGGCUUACCAAGGCUUUGACGGGUAGCCGGCAUGAGAGGGUGACCACCCACAUGGGGACUGAGGUACGGACCAGUCUCCUACGGGAGGCAGCGGUGGCGAAUCUUACACAGUGAGCGGAAGCCUAAUGCAACGACGCCGCGUUCGGAAAGUCGGCCCAGCGGUUGUAAAGCGCUUUCGCCUAUGACGAGUCGUGAGUGACGUUAAUGGGUGAAGAAGCACCGGCUAACUACGUG